rnacentral:rRNA from 1 species
CCUACGGGGUGCAGCAGUGGGGAAUAUUGCACAAUGGGGGAAACCCUGAUGCAGCGACGCCGCGUGAGUGAAGAAGUAUUUCGGUACGUAAAGCUCUAUCAGCAGGGAAGAAAAUGACGGUACCUGACUAAGAAGCCCCGGCUAACUACGUGCCAGCAGCCGCGGUAAUACGUAGGGGGCAAGCGUUAUCCGGAUUGACUGGGUGUAAAGGGAGCGUAGACGGCAGCGCAAGUCUGGAGUGAAAUCCCAUGGCUUAACCAUGGAACUGCUUUGGAAACUGUGCAGCUAGAGUGCAGGAGAGGUAAGCGGAAUUCCUAGUGUAGCGGUGAAAUGCGUAGAUAUUAGGAGGAACACCAGUGGCGAAGGCGGCUUACUGGACUGUAACUGACGUUGAGGCUCGAAAGCGUGGGGAGCAAACAGGAUUAGAUACCCGGGUAGUC